UAUUUGGGUUCUUGGGACCUGCCUUUUCCAUCUCUGUAAGAUGCUAAAACCGAUAAAAGGCAGGGGUAAAGAUGCCAACUGUCCUUAUUCCCAUAUUUAAAGUUUUAAUUUUUCCUUUACUUUGUUUUUUAAUCCAGACUCUGUCUUUAUUUGAAAGGUUAAGACCAGGCUUUCCAUGUACACCUGAAUCCUCCCAUGCCUCCCCACUGCUCCAAAUGCACAAGUCCUGCUCUCUGCUUAGGAAGACUGAUCUGCACGGGAAAAUCAUUCUAUACCAGACUCAACAAGAGUGACAUGACUGACCCCUGUGUAAUCAUGCACCAAGAAACCCUGCUGAGUUACCACUCCUGGCUGCAUUCACUCACCGAAGAUCAUAUGUCUUGAUAAGUGGCUUUCCAUCACAGUCUGUUUAAAGUUUUCAGUCAAGCCCUUCUCUCUGAUGCUCCCUGCCUGAUACUGACUCUGGGAUGAUACAGGAGCAUAAUGGUGUGCCACCACCCUGCUCACAUCUUUGUAACUUGCCAUAUAUAAAAAUGUCCCAGCUGUGUCCUCUUUUUCCUGCUGGGACAGGGGCAGGAUAGGUACUAGGUUCUAUGACCCCCCUUCCCAUCCCUCACUCAUGUGUCCUGGUCUCCCUCUAUGUCAUUGUGUCACCUUAGUGAUUUUGCCUAGUUGUUCUCACUGACCAGCUCUUUGCCGCUCUUUGCCUUGGUGGGUUUCUAACCUACAGGAGGCAGAAUCCCUGAGUAGCUUGGCUGUCUCUUGGAGAACUCAUUUCCUGAUCUUUAUGUAGAAUUUGUGAUGUGAGUAGCUGGAUUCCACACUUUUAUCUGGCCUCUGGUAACAGGGUUCCUGCAUACUUAGCAGCUCACAGCCUGUGAGCUCCCAAGUUUACCAGACAUCCUCCAUACCUUCAUGUCCAGCACCAUGACCCCAUUGCUUACUCCCUGUAGUUGGAAUUUUCUUUGGGCCACCAACCAGCUCCAAAUAAAGACAUGGAGAAUUCUUAUUAAUUAUAAAUGCUCUUCCUUAGAUUAGGCUUGUCCCGCUGGCUCUUUUAACUUAAUUUAAUCUAUUCCUAUUUAUCUACAUUUUGCCUGGAGCUUUUUACCUUUCUUUCAUUCUGUAUGUCCUACUUUCCUACUUCCUCCAUAUCUGGCUAGCUGGCCCUUGGCAUCUCUUUCUUUCUUCCCCUGAACCUAAAUUCCUCCUCCUACUUAACUCUCCCUGCCUGGAAGUCCCACCUAUACCUCCUCGCUCACUAUUGGCCAUUCAGCUUUUCAGUAAUCCAAUCAGGCAGGCAAGGUAAAACAGUAACAUAUCUCUACAUAGUUAAAGAAAUGCAACACGUCUUUGCACAGUUAAACAAAUAUUCCACAACAGCCCCCAUUACUGUACCUGCCAGUCUCAGUGACUUUAGGCCUGGCUGCUACUUGGUCCUUGGUAAUCUUGCUCCUACAUCUCAUUCAUCCCUGGUCCAAGAAGCUCAGAAUCUGUCUAGACUUCUCUGUGUUGGUCCCAUCAGACCUCCAGUGUAGGAAGUUUUUUUUCUGUCAAAAUUAGAGGACUAUUAUAAUAUUUACAAUAGAGACAAAGAAAAUAUAUACAUAUUAAUACAAGUUAAUUAUUUUGUAGAAGGAUUAAAAUAUAUCAGUUAAUAGGUGUAUGUUAGUCAUUUUUCUGUUACUCUGAUGACAACAAUGUAAAAGGAAGAAAAGUCCCUUUUCACUUACAAGGUCACUUUGCCCUGUUCUUUUGGGGAUGUGGUGGCCUGUUGACCCCAUGGCAGCUGGAUGCAAAGAAAAAAGACAAGGAAAAGUUUGAGUUUCAGUAUGUUUUCCAAGAACAUGUCCCACUUGCAUUCCUAUACUUAACUUUUUCCAACUGUAACCCACCUUGUUAAGGUUUCACCAACUCCUAACAUUGCCAUCGUUGGGGACCAAGAUUGACUUGUGGGCACCCUUGUGUCAUCACACAACAGCACAUCCUUGGAAACAAACUAGGGGAGAAGGAACCUCAACUGAAGAACUGCCUCCAUCAUACUGGUCUGUGGGGAACUGUCCUAAUUGAUGCAGGAGAGCCUGGGAUAUUUAAGAAAGGUAGCUGAAAAAGCCAAUAAACAGCAUUCCACUAUUCUUCCCACCUCUGCUCCUGCUUGAGUUCCUUCCCUGACUUCCCUCAGUGAUGAGCUGUUACCUGGAAGUAUAAGCCAAAUAACCCCUUUCCCCCCAAGUUGCUUUUGGUCAUGGUGUUAUCAUAGCAACAGAGAAGGAAGGUAGAACACAAGAUAUUCCAGAUCCAUACUAUAGUGAGGCUCUUUAUGUAUUUACUCACUUGGAGAUUUGUUGGUUUAUUGACUACUCGUAUCAAAUUUUCUUUCCUGGAUAAGGGGGAGAUCCAUGCUUUGUGCAGUGAAAACUGAUAGAACAUUCUGAAGGCAAAAUGCACAGAUAUGAAACCAAAAGCAGAAAAACAGGUGAUACUGUUCACAAUUAUGUCCAGGUGACAUAAGCCAAGUUUUUCUUCCUGUUCUGUGACUUGUGUUCUGGUCUCUAAGGAAAUACAUUUUUACUAAUGACACUGUACUUCUCCCAUUGCACACAUACCUAGCUAUUUGGAGGUCCUUGCAUUAAAGAUUAUACAAGCAAAAGGAGAGGAAGAUGAUAAAACUAAUUAUUGGCUCUAUUACAAAUGGAACUAGAUCUCUAAUAUUUAGGGGCCUCAGGGAGGAGUGUGGAGGAAACCUGGACCAUCCUUGUACUGUCAGAGCAUUCUGUAUGUCCACAGGACCUUCAGAAGCUCAGGAUUUGGGCUAAUUUGGGGCAAUAGUUUAGUCAGUCACUCAUGUCAUGCAUGUGUGAGGACUGAGCUUGAUCUUUAUUACCCACAAACAAAAACUGGGUGUAGUGGCAACUUUAUAAUCCCAGGGCUGGGGAGGUGAAGAUGGAUCCCUGAGGGCUACUGGCCAGCUGGCCUAGCCUAAUCACAAGCUCCAGGUCCUAAUGAGAAAACCUGUCUAAAAAGCCAAGACGAGCAGCUCCUGAGGAACAACACCUGAGAUUGACCUGUGGCCUCUACAUGUAUAAGCUCAGAAUCCCCAAGAAAGGUUUUGGCACCUGAUGCUUGCUAUAGAUUAAGGAACAUCAAUAAGUAAUCACAAGAGAUCAUUAAUCAGGGCAGGAGCUGAGAGUUACAGAAACACAGCUAUAACUUUGUCAGUAUGUUAUUUGUAUUUUCGUUUUUAAAUAGAAAGUAUUUUUAAUUUUCAUUUUGUUUCUCUUCUCAAACUAUUUUAUAUGUCCCAGUGUUUGUUUGUUAUUAACUGUAUAAUGUUGAUAAUAAGUUGCACUACAGUUAGACAAUUGUUACAGACAGAUGAAUGGGGCAGAGCUCUUCUGGAAAACAAGUCAGAUGAAAGCACCAUGAGCAAUGAGACUGUGAUUUUCUUCGAAGAUGGGUGUCAGGGCUACAUUUGGUAUGGUGGAAGUAUUUAUUUAUUUUAAAAGUGAAAACAGAAUAAAUAUCUCUUUGGAAGUCAAACAGAUGGACUUUAUGGGAAAAUUAUAAUUUUUUUCUUAGGCAGAAUCUCACUAUGUAGCCCUGGCUAGCCUGGAACUUGUCUUAUAGAUCAGGUUGGCCUCGAAUUAACAACUCUGCCCUCCCACCCCACCAGUGCUGGGAUUAAAGGUGUAUGCCACCAUGCUUAGUGAAAUUUGUAAAUUUUUGGUGCCUGACAUGCAUCAAAUCUUUCUUACUUUGGACGAUUCCGAAGAUGGGUGGAAGCAAAGUUCCCUCCAGUCAUGGAAGUCAAAAGAGCCACCAGGGAACAGAGAGAGGCUCAGUCAUCUGUACACUCCUCCCCGGAAUGUGUAGUCAGACAGCAGCACAAGCCGUGAGUGAGACUGAGAAGGCAGAGAGUAACCAGGAGACCAAGGGGUGAUCCUGGCCACAUUCCGCCAUUUCUUCAGUUUUAUGUGCAAUUAAAUAUCUUUUCACUAGAUUCCUUCCUGCAACCAAGAACCCAAUAGGUAAUAUCACAAUAUUUAAUUGACUUUUUUGCUAUUUUUUUGGCAUUUUAAUAAAGGAAUGUUGUAAUGAAUUAUUAUACAGGUGUGGGAGAGCUGGCCCCGAUGGUAUGGGGCCAGGAGAGCUGGCUCUGCCCCUCACCUGAGGGGGCAG